GCUUUAAUAGUUGUGCUCGUUGAUAGUAAGUUGAUAAAGGAUUAUUUUGUUCUAAGAUACCUUUAACUCACUGUGUACGGUAUACCUUAAAAAGAAGAAAAAAAA